rnacentral:rRNA from 1 species
CGCUGGCGGCAUGCCUUACACAUGCAAGUCGAACGGUAACGGGCCUUCGGGUGCCGACGAGUGGCGAACGGGUGAGUAAUGCAUCGGAACGUACCUUUCAGUGGGGGAUAACGUAGCGAAAGUUACGCUAAUACCGCAUAUUCUGUGAGCAGGAAAGCAGGGGAUCGCAAGACCUUGCGCUGAUUGAGCGGCCGAUGUCAGAUUAGCUAGUUGGUGAGGUAAAGGCUCACCAAGGCGACGAUCUGUAGCGGGUCUGAGAGGAUGAUCCGCCACACUGGAACUGAGACACGGUCCAGACUCCUACGGGAGGCAGCAGUGGGGAAUUUUGGACAAUGGGGCAACCCUGAUCCAGCCAUGCCGCGUGAGUGAAGAAGGCCUUCGGGUUGUAAAGCUCUUUCGGCCGGGAAGAAAUCGCAUGGGUUAAUACCCUGUGCGGAUGACGGUACCGGCAUAAGAAGCACCGGCUAACUACGUG